GACGAACGCUGGCGGCGUGCUUAACACAUGCCAGUCGAACGGAAAGGCCCUGCUUUUGUGGGGUGCUCGAGUGGCGAACGGGUGAGUAACACGUGAGUAACCUGCCCUUGACUUUGGGAUAACUUCAGGAAACUGGGGCUAAUACCGGAUAGGAGCUCCUGCUGCAUGGUGGUGGUUGGAAAGUUUCGGCGGUUGGGGAUGGACUCGCGGCUUAUCAGCUUGUUGGUGGGGUAGUGGCUUACCAAGGCUUUGACGGGUAGCCGGCCUGGGAGGGUGGCCGGCGACAUGGGGACUGAGAUAGGGCGCAGACUCCUACGGGAGGCAGCAGUGGGGAAUAUUGCACAGUGGGCGGAAGCGUGAUGCAGCAGCGCCGCGUGCGGGAUGACGGCCUUCGGGUUGUAAACCGCUUUCGCCUGUGACGAAGCGUGAGUGACGGUAAUGGGUAAAGAAGCACCGGCUAACUACGUG
rnacentral:rRNA from 1 species